UCCCUGUACUCUAUUUAUACAAUUAUUUUUUGAGUUUAUUUCCUAUUUUUAUCUUGUCCUUCAACUGCAGUAUAGUUCAGGGUUGCCUAUUUUUAGUGCACUCAAGUACCACACCAUGGAAAUGCUUGUCACAGUUCACCAUAUAACCACAGCAGUACUGGACCGCACCUUGCCUGGCAGCAGGUGGCCAGUGCUUAUGUUAUCUGUCUUUCAAUUUAAAGGGUGAGUCCCAAGUUUUCUAUUCUACUAUAAUGAAUAUCCAUGUUGUUGUGGAAGAAGAGAAAAGCAAUAAAACAUUUUUAUUGCCCUUGUAUUCUAGGAGAGACCUCAAAAACCUUGUCUAAAAGUAAGAUAAGACAUUUAAUAUGCACACCAAAGAUAAAGUAAGUCCUUUUUAGCAACCUUGGGACUUCUGGCUCACUUUUUGUCCCAUCCUCAUUUGGAGAAUCCUGUAAAAUUAUUUUGUUUUAUUUUUUAAGAAAAAUUUCAGAGAAAUGAGUUUGACUUCUUGAAGAUUCUUUGGCAGCUUUCUUUUCUUUUUUAAAUUCUUGUCUAGAUGAGCUGUCUGCAGAGCAAGCCUAUAUUUAUUUAAAUAUAAAUUUAAAAUCUGUGCCUCAUGCCUCUUUGAUAUCUGAGAUGGAGCCAAAAUAACAAGUGUGUUUAGAGAUAUCUGGUUAAUAUUUUUUCAGAUUAUCCAAAUCAGCUCACUUGUAGAAGGCUGACAAGUGGAAUUAGAAGAGAAUAAAUCAAUAUGUAAUUAUGACAUGGUGCUGUGGCAUGAGACAACGGUGUAUUUGAAAUUGGGGAUGCAGGUUUCCUGCUUCCCAACCAUCAGUCUGUCAAUGCCAUCUGUUGCACAAUGUGAAGAACAACUGAGCUUAUCCUCAACAAACACUGGCUGUUGGUCUUUUCAUUUUUUUUUUCUGAAGUACUUGUUUUUAUCAAGACCAAGGUCCCUGAAGCAUCACAAAGAUUUGUGCCUUAAGGAAUGUAGCACAAUUAAGAUCGUUUUCUUGAAACUUUUAAGUGGUCAUAAAGAAAUAAGAAUAAACUGGAGAAAUGAAUUAUUCCAAGGAUGCCUGCCCAACACAACGUCACUGAUAAGAAAUUUCACUUCAUUUAAAAGGGUUUCAGAAUACUGCUUGAUGCCUGGACUUCAUUGCCCUCACCUGUGAAGGGGGACUAAUAGUACCUAUUUUACACUGUUCUUGAAGAAUUAAAUGGGAUAAUACUGGUGAAAGCAUCCAGGACUUGGCAGGCACUGGAAUAAAUGAUGUAACAAAGACAAUUGAAUGAAAACAAGAUUCCUCAGUCAUUCCAAACUAAGUUAAGAAUUCUGUGCUCUCUGAGUUCAUCAACUCUUCCCUUUUGGAUAUUGUGAAAAAAAAAGAGAACAAAAGUGUCUAAAAACAGAAGACGGACAGAAGAUAAACCAUAAUCGCUGUCAACUUUUGGGGAGGAAACUACUAUGUUCAGCUAUUGCUAAGGCAAGUAUAAAUUGGUAUAUUCCCAUUAGAAAACAAUUUAGCAACACUUAUGAAGUGUACUGUAAAUGUUCAUACCACUUGGCACAGUUCUCCCAUUCCUGAGAAUUUAUCCUAAGGCAAUAAUUAAAAAGAAAAGAAUAUAUAAAUGCAAGGUCAAUUCAAAUGCAGUGUUAAUUAUAAAUGAAACCCAAGAAGCAAAACAAUUGUUCAACAAUAGACAAGUAGAU